ACGGGAGGCAGCAGUGGGGGAUAUUGCGCGAUGGGGGAAACCCUGAUGCAGCGACGCCGCGUGAGUGAUGAAGUAUUUCGGUAUGUAAAGCUCUAUCAGCGGGGAAGAUAAUGACGGUACCUGACUAAGAAGCACCGGCUAAAUACGUGCCAGCAGCCGCGGUAAUACGUAUGGUGCAAGCGUUAUCCGGAUUUACUGGGCGUAAAGGGAGCGUAGACGGCAUGGCAAGCCAGAUGUGAAAGGCAGGGGCUCAACCCCUGGACUGCAUUUGGAACUGUCAAGCUAGAGUAUCGGAGAGGUAAGUGGAAUUCCUAGUGUAGCGGUGAAAUGCGUAGAUAUUAGGAGGAACACCAGUGGCGAAGGCGGCUUACUGGACGAUAACUGACGUUGAGGCUCGAAAGCGUGGGGAGCAAACAGGAUUAGAUACCCUGGUA
rnacentral:rRNA from 1 species